rnacentral:rRNA from 1 species
UACAGAGGGUGCAAGCGUUGUUCGGAAUUAUUGGGCGUAAAGAGCUCGUAGGCGGUCUGUCGCGUCGGCUGUGAAAUCCCGAGGCUCAACCUCGCGCCUGCAGUGGGUACGGGCAGACUGGAGUGCGGUAGGGGAGAUUGGAAUUCCUGGUGUAGCGGUGGAAUGCGCAGAUAUCAGGAGGAACACCGAUGGCGAAGGCAGAUCUCUGGGCCGUAACUGACGCUGAGGAGCGAAAGCGUGGGGAGCGAACAGG